UGGUUGUGACUGCCUGUAACAGCAACUCCAUGUGGAAGUGAGUGAGUGUGUUCCAGUGGAGCUGCUGUUACCUGCAGACACUAA
rfam:Astyanax mexicanus chromosome 20, whole genome shotgun sequence.